GAUGAACGCUGGCGGCGUGCUUAACACAUGCAAGUCGAACGAGGAAGCCCAGCUUGUUGGGUGGUUUAGUGGCGAACGGACGGGUAACACGUGAGUAACCUGCCUUUAACUCUGGGUUAAGCCUGGGAAACAGGGCGUAAUACAGGCUGGGUGCGUUCACGGCACGGAGGGUGCUGGAAAGAUUUACCGGUUUUGGAUGGACUCGCGGCCUAUCAGCUUGUUGGUGAGGUAUUGGUUCACCAAGGCGUUGACGGGUAGCCGGCCUGAGAGGGUGACCGGCCACACUGGGACUGAGGCACGGCCCAGACUCCUACGGGAGGCAGCAGUGGAGAAUAUUGCACAAUGGGCGCAAGCCUGAUGCAGCGGCGCCGCGUGAGGGAUGACGGCCUUCGGGUUGUAAACCUCUUUCAGUAGGGAAGAAGCGAUAGUGACGGUACCUGCAGAAGAAGCACCGGCUAACUACGUG
rnacentral:rRNA from 1 species